rnacentral:tRNA from 1 species
GAUCUUGUAGCUCAGUUGGUAGAGCAUUGGACUAGCAAAUCAAAGGUCGUGGGUUCAAUUCCCACCUUGGUCA